GAUGAACGCUAGCGGCAGGCUUAAUACAUGCAAGUCGUGGGACAGCAUGAGUAGCAAUACUUGAUGGCGACCGGCAAACGGGUGAGGAACACGUACACAACCUUCCUUCAAGCGGGGAAUAGCCCAGAGAAAUUUGGAUUAAUACCCCAUAAUAUAUUUGAUAAGGCAUCUUAUUAAUAUUAAAGCUUCGGCACUUGAUGAUGGGUGUGCGGCUGAUUAGAUAGUUGGCGGGGUAACGGCCCACCAAGUCUACGAUCAGUAGCUGAUGUGAGAGCAUGAUCAGCCACACGGGCACUGAGACACGGGCCCGACUCCUACGGGAGGCAGCAGUAAGGAAUAUUGGACAAUGGGCGAAAGUCUGAUCCAGCCAUGCCGCGUGAAGGAUUAAGGUCCUCUGGAUUGUAAACUUCUUUAUAUGGGACGAAAAAGGGCAUUCUUGUUCACUUGACGGUACCAUAUGAAUAAGCACCGGCUAACUCCGUGCCAGCA
rnacentral:rRNA from 1 species